rnacentral:sRNA from 1 species
GUCACAGGUGAUGAAAAAAGUGGGUCACUUUUGUGCUUUUUCAUGGCCCUUUCUGCUCAAUCUGUGAU